AUUGAACGCUGGCGGCAGGCCUAACACAUGCAAGUCGAGCGGAUGAAGGGAGCUUGCUCCUUGAUUCAGCGGCGGACGGGUGAGUAAUGCCUAGGAAUCUGCCUAGUAGUGGGGGACAACGUUUCGAAAGGAACGCUAAUACCGCAUACGUCCUACGGGAGAAAGUGGGGGCUCUUCGGACCUCACGCUAUUAGAUGAGCCUAGGUCGGAUUAGCUAGUUGGUAGGGUAAAGGCCUACCAAGGCGACGAUCCGUAACUGGUCUGAGAGGAUGGUCGGUCACACUGGAACUGAGACACGGUCCAGACUCCUACGGGAGGCAGCAGUGGGAAAUAUUGGACAAUGGGCGCAAGCCUGAUCCAGCCAUGCCGCGUGUGUGAAGAAGGCCUUCGGGUCGUAAAGCACUUUAAGUUGGGAAGAAGGGCUUACGGUUAAUACCUGUGAGUUUUGACGUUACCAACAGAAUAAGCACCGGCUAACUUCGUGCCAGCCGCCGCGGUAA
rnacentral:rRNA from 1 species